AGGUACUGGGAUGUUACUGGGGUGAUACUGGUGGUUACUGGGAGUUACUGGGAGCUACUGGGAUGUAUCAAAGGAGCACUUGGGGGGCGGGGGGAGCUCCUGAGAGGCACCGGGAGCUCCUGGGGGGGCACUGGGGUGAUACUGGGAGUUACUGGGGUCAUACUGGGAGUUACUGGGAUGUUACUGGGCGGGUUACUGGUGGUUACUGGUGGUUACUGGUCGUUACUGGGCACCCACCAUGGCUCGGGUGAGGCACUGCCUCCAGCGGCAUUUCUGCCUGCGGCGGUUGCGGCCCCCGAAGCGGGGUUUGUCCCGGCAGAAGUCGCAGCGCCCGCAGUCGGCGGCUCGCAGGCAGGGGGGGCACGACCCGCAGCGACGGCCACGCUGGGUUAUAGGGUCACGGGGUCAGUUAUAGGGUCAGGGGUCACUUAUAGGGUCACUUAUAGGGUCAGGGGGUCACUUAUAGGGUCACGGGGUCAGUUAUAGGGUCACUUAUAGGGUCAG
rnacentral:lncRNA from 1 species